rnacentral:rRNA from 1 species
ACUCAAAUGAAUUGACGGGGGCCCGCACAAGCGGUGGAGGAUGUGGUUUAAUUCGACGCAACGCGAAGAACCUUACCUGGGCUUGACAUCCCGUGACCGCGCCAGAGAUGGCGUUUCCUCUUCGGAGGCACGGAGACAGGUGCUGCAUGGCUGUCGUCAGCUCGUGUCGUGAGAUGUUGGGUUAAGUCCCGCAACGAGCGCAACCCUUGUCCUUAGUUGCCAGCGAGUUAUGUCGGGCACUCUAGGGAGACUGCCGGUGAUAAGCCGGAGGAAGGUGGGGAUGACGUCAAGUCCUCAUGGCCUUUAUGCCCAGGGCUACACACGUCCUACAAUGGUGCCGACAAAGAGCAGCAAGCCAGCGAUGGUGAGCGAAUCUCAAAAACGGCAUCUCAGUUCGGAUUGCAGUCUGCAACUCGACUGCAUGAAGUUGGAAUCGCUAGUAAUCGCGCAACAGCAUGGCGCGGUGAAUACGUUCCCGGGCCUUGUACACACCGCCCGU